rnacentral:sRNA from 1 species
CUAAGGUUCGAUUCGAGCGAAAGCGAGAAAGCUUUGCCGCAGGCAACGACCCGAAGGGCGAAACGCGCAGCGCUGAGU